rnacentral:rRNA from 1 species
GAUGAACGCUGGCGGCGUGCCUAAUACAUGCAAGUCGAGCGAACGGACGAGAAGCUUGCUUCUCUGAUGUUAGCGGCGGACGGGUGAGUAACACGUGGAUAACCUCCCUAUAAUACUGGGAUAACUUCGGGAAACCGGCUCUAAUACCGUAUAAUAUUUUGAACCGCAUGGUUCAAAAGUGAGAUUCGGUCUUGCUGUCACUUAUAGAUGGAUCCGCGCUGCAUUAGCUAGUUGGUAAGGUAACGGCUUACCAAGGCAACGAUGCAUAGCCGACCUGAGAGGGUGAUAGGCCACACUGGAACUGAGACAAGGUCAAGACGACUACGGGAGGCAGCAGUAGGGAAUCGUACGCAAUGGGGGAAAGCAUGACGGAGCAACGCCGCGUGAGUGAUGAAGGUCUUCGGAUCGUAAAAAUCUGUUAUUAGGGAAGAACAGAUGUGGAAGGAAAUGUGCACAGAUUGACGGUAACUAAUCAGAAAGCCACGGCUAACCACGUG